UUACGUUUUGCUUCAUCAUUGAAACCGCCUCUUUACUUUGUUUCCAUUAACUCUCUCCUUCAAGCUCUCCUACUACUAUUAAUUUAGUUAAAUCUUUACACACCUCCACAUGAAAUCCCUAAUUUUUGAUACUAUAAACAGGGUUGCAGAAUUCUCCAAAUCUCACAGCUUCUUAACCUUGGAGCCUAUGCUUUCUUAAAACACAUACUUCAACUAUGGUAUCGUCCCAAAUCAUCUCUCUGAUGUAUAGUCCGAUUGUUUUCUCAUGGGAAGCGUGGAACAUGAAAGAGCUAGCGGUGUCAAACUUUAUCAUCCUCAUCAUUGACAAACAGGUAGAUCUGCAAUGCCUCAAAGAUGUACUCUGGUUUCUAUGGAGGAGAUGCGUAUUGAAGGGGGUGGCGACUUUCCUCAUGUAAAGAAAGGUUACCUACUAAUUCUGACUUUUAUGUUAUUAGUCCCAUUCGGUUUUAACUACAAGCUGUGAUGGUGCAAUAGUUUUAGUGCCUUUCAAUCUAAACAUUGUUACCGAAUAACUAUUCUGCAAAGAAAGAUGGCCAAUACCGGAUUGAUUUUGAGGCCACACCAACAAUGUUGAGAUGCCUUAUAUAUCUAAAGAAAAAAACAGUGAAGGCUAUGAUCAUGUCAGGUGGACCAAAACAUUUCAAGCUCACAGUUCGAAGAGUUUGAGGGAGAAGGAGAACAUGAACCUAAUGUGUUGCACAUAUCCAGAAUUCUAGGAUUCACAACAGGGUUGUCUACAUAUUCUGAGUCUGACGAAGAGUGAAAAACAUAAAAGAAAAGUGCAACGUCAAAAAAUGGAGAUGUAUUAAGGACUCACUUGGUUUCUGUUGGUUCUCUUCAUUGUCUCUUUCUACCGGGGAAAUAUGUUAAUACAAUCAGUGGUUUUACAUUCGUUGGUAUGCCAAGUGAGUGUGGUGUACGAAUAUAGCUGUAAACUGGGCGAGUCCACGUCCAUUAGCCCGUAUCCAUUUGUCCAUUUAUUGUUUGUGGACAAAGAGUGACCAUGUCCAUUAGAAUCAUGUCCAUUAAGAACCAUGUCCACUAAAACCCAUAUUUUUAUGGGUUACCAUAGAGUCCAUAAUAGACCAUAUAAGAAAAUUUUAGAUUUUAA